AGCCAAGCAGCAUCUUCAAAUCCGCUUCUCACUUCCCAUAAAUAAAACUAAUUUAUAUAAAGAAUCUGGUAAUUUGCAGGUAUCCUUGAAACCUGGGAGAUGCAAAUAUCAUUCUAAUGGGAUUCCUAAUAUAUUUUCGCGCAUGGUAUCACUAAAAAAUGUAAUCGAUUUCUUCUUCUUUUUCUCUCCAGCUGGUGUUGCUUCUUUUUUUCCCGUUGCUGCUAUCGGAAUGCAAAUAGAAAAAAACUUUGCUUCGCUGGUGGCAUGGACAGAAGCGAGCAAGUAGCGUGUAGCUGGUGAUAGCAGUCUGUGAAGGAGAGAUGGUGAUAAAAAUGAUAUUAGGUGGUAGCAGACCAACAUGCUACAAAUGAUAUAGGAUGUCUAACAACUGGUGGUGCGUAAGAACAGGUGAUUUUAUCAACGAUCCGUAAAUAUUUUGACUUUUUUGGGGGUUUUAUUCGUGACUAUUAUGCGAGAUUUGCAUCGGUAAAAAGUGCACUCGACAAGUUGAAAGAGUAUUGGUUGUGUGGAUGAUCCAUUGUUAUAUGUUAUUGAGAAAUGUGGCGGUUCUCAAAUCAAGCAAGGAUACGAGGUAUAGAUUGGAUCUAUGCAGAGAAAAUCUGCGAGAUAUUCAGAGAAAAUAUGCGAUGAAAAUAACUAUCCGACAUACAUUGGCUUUUCAAAUACAGCUACGGAACCAUCAAAAUCAAAAAUCACCACCAUCAGAAAAAAUGAUUUACAAGAUGGAUAUACCAAAUCAAUUGUCCAUCAACACAUUCGUGAAAAUACCGGGUCUACAGACCGUAUUAUUCUUCAAGCAGUGACCUAUAGGAAUGAGAAUCAUGAAUAGAAGGGUAAAGUGAUUUAGGUACUUAAUUAGAGAUUUUCUUUUGUUUUUUCUUAGGAAUGAGUUUUGCUUUUAUUUUUAUUUGGAAUAGAUUUUCUUAAAUGGGAUUUUUAGAAAUCACAAACAAUUCCAACUU